rnacentral:rRNA from 1 species
GACGUAGGAUGCAAGCGUUGUCCGGAUUUAUUGGGCGUAAAGAGUUCGUAGGUGGUGACUUAAGUCUGGUGUUAAAUUUUGGGGCUCAACCCCAAGUCUGCAUUGGAAACUGGGUUGCUAGAGUACGGUAGAGGCAAGGGGAAUUCCCGGUGUAGCGGUGAAAUGCGUAGAUAUCAGGAGGAACACCGAUGGCGAAGGCAGGUCUCUGGGCAUUAACUGACGCUGAGGAGCGAAAGCAUGGGGAGCGAACAGG